rnacentral:rRNA from 1 species
GACGAACGCUGGCGGCGUGCUUAACACAUGCAAGUCGAACGGAAAGGCCCUGCUUUUGUGGGGUGCUCGAGUGGCGAACGGGUGAGUAACACGUGAGUAACCUGCCCUUGACUUUGGGAUAACUUCAGGAAACUGGGGCUAAUACCGGAUAGGAGCUCCUGUUGCAUGGUGGGGGUUGGAAAGUUUCGGCGGUUGGGGAUGGACUCGCGGCUUAUCAGCUUGUUGGUGGGGUAGUGGCUUACCAAGGCUUUGACGGGUAGCCGGCCUGAGAGGGUGACCGGCCUCAUUGGGACUGAGAUACGGCCCAGACUCCUACGGGAGGCAGCAGUGGGGAAUAUUGCACAAUGGGCGGAAGCCUGAUGCAGCAACGCCGCGUGCGGGAUGACGGCCUUCGGGUUGUAAACCGCUUUCGCCUGUGACGAAGCGUGAGUGACGGUAAUGGGUAAAGAAGCACCGGCUAACUACGUG